AGUCCUCGGGGUUGGGUGAAAAUCCCUACCGGCGGUGACCUGUUAAUAACAGCAGCCCGCGACCCUUGUGAAAAUUGAUCAAGGUUGAUCAGGUGAAAUUCCUGAGCCGACGGUAAGAGUCCGGAUGGGAGAGGAUG
rnacentral:ncRNA from 1 species